GGGGGAUGUAGCGCAAUUGGUAGUGCGUCUGCUUCUUAGCAGAAGAUAGGGGUUCGAUUCCCUUCUCCUCCA
rnacentral:tRNA from 1 species